rnacentral:rRNA from 1 species
AGUGAACGCUGGCGGCGUGCUUAACACAUGCAAGUCGAACGAGAACGGAUUAUAGCUUGCUAUAAUUGUCAGCUAAGUGGCGCACGGGUGAGUAAUGUAUAGGUAAUAUGCCUCUUACUAAGGGAUAACAAAUGGAAACGUUUGCUAAUACCUUAUACUCCUUAUUAACAGAAGUUAAUAAGGGAAAGAUUUAUUGGUAAGAGAUUAGCCUGUAUUGUAUCAGUUAGUUGGUGGGGUAAUGGCUUACCAAGACUAUGACACAUAACUGGUUUGAGAGGAUGAUCAGUCACACUGGAACUGAGACACGGUCCAGACUCCUACGGGAGGCAGCAGUGGGGAAUAUUGCACAAUGGACGAAAGUCUGAUGCAGCAACGCCGCGUGGAGGAUGACACAUUUCGGUGCGUAAACUCCUUUUAUAUGAGAAGAUAAUGACGGUACCUACAGAAUAAGUCCCGGCUAACUUCGUG